rnacentral:misc_RNA from 1 species
AAUUCUCAACUACAAUUCCUUUUGAAAGUAAUUGUAGAUUGGACAUGGGGGUAUUGCAGGCCUUCCAAGGUCAGCUCCCUUAAAAUGCAUUAGCAGAACUGUUUGCAAGUCAGUCACUGGUGUGAUAAUUAUCUACGCCAAUAGACAUAAACUGCUCUCUAUCUGAUCUGCUUCUAAUGGUCUUUGUAGACAACCUUUUGAAUAU